UGAACGAAAGUUCGACUAAGUCAUAUUAAAUAAGGGUUGGUAAAUUUCGUGCCAGCCACCGCGGUCAUACGAUUAACCCAAAUUAAUAAACCCUCCGGCGUAAAGCGUGUCAAAGACUAAUACCAAAAUAAAGUUAAAACCCAGUUAAGCCGUAAAAAGCUACAACCAAAGUAAAAUAGACUACGAAAGUGACUUUAAUACCUCUGACUACACGAUAGCUAAGACCCAAACUGGGAUUAGAUACCCCACUAUGCUUAGCCCUAAACUAAAAUAGCUUACCACAACAAAGCUAUUCGCCAGAGUACUACUAGCAACAGCCUAAAACUCAAAGGACUUGGCGGUGCU
rnacentral:rRNA from 1 species